rnacentral:misc_RNA from 1 species
CUGCCCUCAAGCACGGCUUGUGUGUUGGGUGCGGUCCCCUCUAUUACCAAGGGGGACCUGCCUGAAAGGCAGUGGCGACGUUCCGCCUAGGUCCUCGAGCGUAUGGGGCUUUGUCACCCGCUUGGGAAGGGCCUGCGGGCGUUGGUCAUCCACCAUUGUUUCCAC